UACGUAGGGGGCAAGCGUUGUCCGGAAUUAUUGGGCGUAAAGAGCGUGUAGGCGGCCAGAUAAGUCCGCUGUGAAAUCUCGAGGCUCAACUUCGAGCUGUCGGUGGAAACUAUCUGGCUAGAGUCCGGAAGAGGAGAAUGGAAUUCCUGGUGUAGCGGUGAAAUGCGCAGAUAUCAGGAAGAACACCCGUGGCGAAGGCAGCUCGCUGGAACGGUACUGACGCUGAGGCGCGAAAGCGUGGGGAGCGAACAGG
rnacentral:rRNA from 1 species